rnacentral:rRNA from 1 species
CUACGGAAGGUCCGGGCGUUAUCCGGAUUUAUUGGGUUUAAAGGGAGCGCAGGCGGAGAUGCAAGCGUGACGUCAAAUUUCGGGGCUCAACCCCGUCUCGCGUCGCGAACUGCGUCCCUUGGUUGCGGGAAGGGGAGGCGGAACUCGUGGUGGAGCGGGGAAAUGCAUAGAUAUCACGAAGAACUCCGAUCGCGAAGGCAGCCUUCCGGCCCGUCAACGACGCUCAUGCUCGAAGGUGCGGGUAUCAAACAGGAUUAGAUACCCUGGUAGUCCGCACAGUAAACGAUGGACACCCGCGGUUUGGCCUGUAUGGCUGAGCCGCCAAGCGAAAGCGUUAAGUGUCCCACCUGGGGAGUACGCCGGCAACGGUGAAACUCAAAGGAAUUGACGGGG